GCAUCUUUAGUUCAGGGGUAGAAUGUUUCACUAGUAAUGAAAAGGUCAUAAGUUCGAAUCUUAUAAGAUGCA